rnacentral:rRNA from 1 species
ACGCACGCUGGCGGCGUGCUUAACACAUGCAAGUCGAACGGAAAGGCCCUGCUUUUGUGGGGUGCUCGAGUGGCGAACGGGUGAGUAACACGUGAGUAACCUGCCCUUGACUUUGGGAUAACUUCAGGAAACUGGGGCCAAUACCGGAUAGGAGCUCCUGCUGCAUGGUGGGGGUUGGAAAGUUUCGGCGGUUGGGGAUGGACUCGCGGCUUAUCAGCUUGUUGGUGGGGUAGUGGCUUACCAAGGCUUUGACGGGUAGCCGGCCUGAGAGGGUGACCGGCCACAUUGGGACUGAGAUACGGCCCAGACUCCUACGGGAGGCAGCAGUGGGGAAUAUUGCACAAUGGGCGGUAGCCUGAUGCAGCAACGCCGCGUGCGGGAUGACGGCCUUCGGGUUGUAAACCGCUUUCGCCUGUGACGAAGCGUGAGUGACGGUAAUGGGUAAAGAAGCACCGGCUAACUACGUG